AUGUCACAUGUUAAAUCAUCAAGAAAUGUCACAUAUGUCAGAUUUAUAAAUUCUUCCAAAUUUCGAUGAAUCCAUUCAUGUAGUACAUCAUAUCAACAUUAUGACAAUAAUCGGAUACAUAUUGCGAAAAGUUGGUCAAUUUUAUAAAGAAACUAUUACUUUGUGAAAUAAUUAGGGCGUUAUGGAGAACCAGAAGAUUAUUAGGGCAAUUUUGAAGGAAAAUGCGUCUUUACGUUCACAUAUUGAGAAACUGGAACAAUGUGUUAAUCACUUAUUUAAUAUAAGUGACAAGCAGAGUUACAAAAACGAAAUAUUUAUGGAAAUGAUUGUGGCGAUCACCAAGGAGAAUAGGAAGCUGAAAAAGGAUUUGGAAAAAUUGGAACGUAAGGAAACACCAGAGGAAAAAUUAAUUGGUAAUGUUCUCCUAGUAGCAUUGGAAAGGGCAUUGAAAACAACAAAGGAAGACCAUAUGACAGUUUCUGAUACAAAUUUAGUAACGUUCCAUUCGUCUAACACCAAACGAUUAUUAAAGGAGGUUCAAAACCAUAUAUUGAAGCAAAAACACGUAACUGGCUGUAAAACCAAAACAAUCGAAAAACAUAAUUAUGAUGAACUGGAGACGUUUUUAAAUUCAUUGAAAUGUAAUGCAUAUGUAAAAAAAUAAACAAAAUUCUAGAAGCAACUGGCAUCAAGUUCAAGUUUAAUGCAUACGUCUAAAUAACCGUGAGAAAUAAAAAAAAAUCAGGGGGUAGCUAGGAUACCUAGAAAAAGUCACCCCUCUAAUGGUUGGCGAAUAUAAGAAUACUUGGUGGUAUGGGAAAAAACUGUCCCCAACAUUUUUUACGCGAUACCAUGAUUAAAGGUUGUUAUUUAUAAUCUUUUCAAACUAUAUGCAAAUGAAAAGAAAAAAAAACGGACAAUAAAUUCCAAGUAAUUUUUCA